rnacentral:misc_RNA from 1 species
ACCAAACAAAGAAAUUUAUUUGUAAAUGAAUUUUAUCAAGAAAUUUAUUUACAAAUGAAAUAAAUUUUACCAUAGAAUUAAACUAAAUAGGGUCGUAGAUGAUGAUAAUAUGAUAUAUAGUAAGCAAGAUGGUCAUAGACAACUCCAUGUGUGUGAUUUCUAGGUACAUUAGGCUAUGUUUGGUAUGAUGUAAUCAAAGUUG